UGGGGAAUCUUGCACAAUGGGGGCAACCCUGAUGCAGCGACGCCGCGUGAGCGAUGAAGCCCUUCGGGGCGUAAAGCUCUUUCGACCGGAACGAUAAUGACGGUACCGGGAGAAGAAGCUGCGGCUAACUACGUGCCAGCCGCCGCGGUAAUACGUAGGCAGCGAGCGUUGUUCGGAGUUACUGGGCGUAAAGAGUGCGUAGGCGGCGAGCCAGGUUUGGUGUGAAAUCUCCCGGCUUAACCGGGAGGGUGCGCCGAAAACUGGUUGGCUGGAGUAUGGGAGAGGAAAGCGGAAUUCCUGGUGUAGCGGUGAAAUGCGUAGAUAUCAGGAGGAACACCUGCGGUGUAGACAGCUUUCUGGACCAAAACUGACGCUGAGGCACGAAAGCGUGGGUAGCAAACA
rnacentral:rRNA from 1 species